GACGAACGCUGGCGGCGUGCUUAACACAUGCAAGUCAGGGGGCGGGGUAACCCGUCACCGGCGACCGGGUGCGGAACACGUGAGCGACCUGCCCGGGUGUGGGGGAUAGCCGGCCCAACGGCCGGGUAAUACCGCAUACGGCGCCCGCUUGGAAGCGGGAGGCGAAACUCGCAAGAGGCGCUAGGAGGGGCUCGCGGCCUAUCAGCUAGUUGGUGCGGUAACGGCGCACCAAGGCGAUGACGGGUAGCUGGUGUGAGAGGAUGGCCAGCCACAUUGGGACUGAGAGACGGCCCAGACUCCUACGGGAUGCAGCAGUGGGGAAUAUUGAGCGAUGGGCGAAAGCCUGACGCAGCGACGCUGCGUGGAGGAUGAGGCCCUUCGGGGUGUAAACUCCUGUGGCCAGGGACGAAUGCCCAGCAACGGCGGGGUUGACGGUACCGGGUGAGGAAGCACCGGCUAACUCUGUG
rnacentral:rRNA from 1 species